AUACGUAGGGGGCGAGCGUUGUCCGGAAUGAUUGGGCGUAAAGGGCGCGUAGGCGGCCCGGUAAGUCUGGAGUGAAAGUCCUGUUUUUAAGAUGGGAAUUGCUUUGGAUACUGUCGGGCUUGAGUGCAGGAGAGGUAAGUGGAAUUCCCAGUGUAGCGGUGAAAUGCGUAGAGAUUGGGAGGAACACCAGUGGCGAAGGCGACUUACUGGACUGUAACUGACGCUGAGUCGCGAACGUGGGGGGAGCAAACAGGAUUAGAUACCCUGGUAGUCCACACUGUAAACGAUGAAUGCUAGGUGUAGGGGGUAUCGACCCCUUCUGUGCCGCAGUCAACACAAUAAGCAUUCCGCCUGGGGAGUACGGCCGCAAGGUUGAAACUCAAAUGAAUUGACGGGG
rnacentral:rRNA from 1 species